UCAGCAGCCUCAGGAGACUGCCUGGCUGAGGGAGGGAGAGUCCUGCCUCUCCUUCUGGGUGGUGUGGGGGUGUUGUGUGUGUCUCGGCAAGGAAGCUGAAUAGAAAAACAACUUUCCUAAGCUCAAAGAAUGAAUGGCAAAGCCAGCAACCGUUGACUCGUCGAUGCCUGAGGCUGACUCUCAACCUGAGCCCUUCUCCACAAGACCCCAAGUGUCCAAGUAUCAGAGGCAGGCUCACUAACCUGUCGUGGGGCUCAAAUAGCCCCUGCUUCAUGGAUCAUGCUGUCUACCUUCCUGGAGAGCUUGCUUCGGAUAAAUGUCUCUCCACUUCCCAAACUAGGAAGGAUGGAAAGGUAUUUACACUUUCAGUAACCUGCAUAUGGAUCCCACUGCUAUUUAAUUAAGACUUAAACCUAUAAAGAUGCACAUUUAAUACUCAGAGUAAACCCUUGACUUGUUUCCUUUGAAGAUAAGCAGAGAGCGAGAGUGAGUGAGGGAGGGGCAAAGGGAGAGGAAGA